rnacentral:tRNA from 1 species
GGAGAAUUAGCUCAGCUGGGAGAGCAUCUGCCUUACAAGCAGAGGGUCGGGGGUUCGAGCCCCUCAUUCUCCAUCA